UCCUGUCGUUGGAUCACAUUAUAUUUGUACUCUAAAAGUUCUUCAUGGUAAUCUUCACCAUUAUUAUUACAAAGCGAGGGAAAUUUCUUCUCGUCAAGAUAACGGCUUGUCUGUCCAGCUGCUGCCAUCUUGCGUGAUAACCGCUACAUUUGAGGUGUGUGCUACUGUUCGGUAAUUUUACAGAAAAAGUAUCCUGUAAUCGUGAAUUACUAAAGAUUUUGUCAUUUUACUUUCAUUGAAUAAGAAAAUACGAUAGUGUGCGAUGUUGCAUUUGUGUCAUUUUAAUUUUAAACCGAAACGAAGAAUGACAAAUUGUAAUUACGUUCACUUCAUUACUAUAUUGUGUGACAGCAGUAGGUACCAGUUUGACUUGGAAAGAAAUCGUAAUGUUGCAGUUGCUUCCACUCCAUGGUUUGUUGGCGCUGGGCACGAGGCACUUCCGGUCACGUCGAAGCCGCCUUCCGUUGCAGAACAAAGCCAGCAGGUCCGUGUUUAUUAGUCGUGAUAUGAACUGGACGGCAGGAGCCUGAUUCCUCGACAGUGGGCACUCUACUUCAUCACGUCACCACGGUAUCCGUAUCUGGUCCGAAAGUCAGCAGGUCUUCUAAGAGCGGCUGGAGCGUGAACCUGACCACUUGAGUUCUAUGCUGUACUGAGAUUUGAAGGCGACAAUAAGCACAGAGUGUUCUCACAGUGAACAGCGACUGCUUCCCCAAACAGCAUUAACCGGUUGGGCUCUGCAGUGGUGACGUAGUGUUUCCUGUGAGGUACGGACUGAACG